UACAAGUAUGUGUAUAUAUACUGUCAGUAAUUAUCAUUAUAUACUGUAUUAUAAAGAAAAUACAGGAACCACUAGAAGAGGAGGUACAGGAGAUAAAGGAACAACCUCAUGAUACAAAGGAAGAGAGAGUAGCAAGACUGGAGGAGAAAGAA